rnacentral:lncRNA from 10 species
UUUUAAAGCUUUUCUUGCCACUUAGCACACACAUACAAGCACUUAGUCAGCUCUACAUGCAAUACUAGAAACGACGGAUGAAAGGAUGACGACACCAUGGCUACUGUCUUCAAAAAGUUCAUUGUGACAUAUAGGGAAACAUGUAUGUACUCAUUUGUUGGGGAAAAAAAUAGUAACUCUGGUGAUGAGAUGCAGAAGCACUGACUGUGACCUCAGCAAAAGUCUGAGAGGGUGCAAUGGAGACCUCGCCAAAGACAGACAAAGUUUGCAACCAAAGCCCUGCCCUGAGUACUCCCCUUCUUUCUUGAGCCCUCCACUGAAAAAUGAAGAUGCAGCCCCAUUAAAUAGAGCAAAUGUGUGGUGGGAGAAUAAAAGUAAGUAACUUGGAACAUAGAAAAUCGAACAUCUGGUGAAUAAUGUUAAAGCAAACUAAAUAUGGCCUAAGAAGGACUCCAUACAUCUAUAUUUGAGUCCUUGUGGAGGAACUGCAACCUAACUUAGUAGGUAGACAAGACUGAAAACCUAACUUAGGAGUAUCCACCUGUAACAAUUGCUGAGUCUUGGCCAAUCCUAGAAGCCAUACUUCAACCACUCACGGUCUGCUAAGUGUUCAAACUGUGUUCAAAGAAGGCAAAUGCUGACCUGUAACCAAUCCAGCUGUUUCUGUAACACACUGCUGAUUUCUGUACGUCACUUCCCCUUUUUUGUCUAUAAAUUUGUUCUGAGCAUGAGGCACCCCUGGAAUCUCUCCGUAUCUGCUGUAAUCCUGGGGGCUGCCCGAUUCAUUGCUCAUUUUUUCAUUGCUCAAUUAAAC